rnacentral:rRNA from 1 species
CCUACGGGAGGCAGCAGUGGGGAAUAUUGCGCAAUGGGCGAAAGCCUGACGCAGCGACGCCGCGUGAGGGAUGCAGGUCUUCGGAUCGUAAACCUCUGUCAGCAGGGAAGAACGGUCACUGUGCUAAUCAGCAGUGAAUUGACGGUACCUGCAAAGGAAGCAUCGGCUAACUCCGUGCCAGCAGCCGCGGUAAUACGGAGGAUGCGAGCGUUAUCCGGAUUUAUUGGGUUUAAAGGGUGCGUAGGCGGGAUACCAAGUCAGCGGUAAAAAUGCGGUGCUCAACGCCGUCGAGGCGUUGAAACUGGCGUUCUUGAGUGGGCGAGAAGUAUGCGGAAUGCGUGGUGUAGCGGUGAAAUGCAUAGAUAUCACGCAGAACUCCGAUUGCGAAGGCAGCAUACCGGCGCCCUACUGACGCUGAGGCACGAAAGCGUGGGUAUCGAACAGGAUUAGAUACCCCAGUAGUC